UCUUGGAGACAGGAACCUCAGCUUUCAGGA
rnacentral:piRNA from 1 species